GACAGCGGGGGCGUGGGCAGCAGCUCAAACUUCUUCCAGAUGUCCUCCCCCGGGGGGGUCGAGUCGGGGCCGCCGAAGUAGAAGUCAUCUUCGUCCGGGGGCACCCUUUGGAGAAGAACCCCAGCCUGGGGUGGGGACGCACCGGCUCUCCGACAGCUCAAACACAGACAGAUCUUCUAGAGCCGAGGGAAUUUCUUUUCGCAGAAGCCAUUACUCCCCCCGAGAGAAGGCUGCAAAGCUGGGAAGCCCAGGGUGUGCUCCUCCCGCCCUUUUGGACCCCCGGGCUUGCACCGGCUGCACUCUGAGAACCAGCUGCGCGCGGAGCGGUGCAAUGCAGCACCCACCCUGCGAGCCUGGCAAUUGCUUGUCAUUAAAAGAAAAAAAAAUUA
rnacentral:ncRNA from 2 species